AGAGUUUGAUCCUGGCUCAGGAUGAACGCUAGCGGCAGGCUUAACACAUGCAAGUCGAGGGAGAAGCGAUGUAGCAAUACAGAGCGGGAACCGGCGCAAGGGUGCGUAACGCGUGAGCAACUUGCCCGCAUCAGGGGGACAAUCGGUGGAAACGCCGUCUAAUACCCCAUAACACAGAAGGUGACAUCUCCUUUUGUUGAAAGCUCCGGCGGAUGCGGAUGGGCUCGCGUGGCAUUAGGUAGUUGGCGGGGUAACGGCCCACCAAGCCGACGAUGCUUAGGGGAACUGAGAGGUUUGUCCCCCACACUGGGACUGAGACACGGCCCAGACUCCUACGGGAGGCAGCAGUGAGGAAUAUUGGUCAAUGGCCGGAAGGCUGAACCAGCCAUGCCGCGUGAAGGAUUGAGGUCCUAUGGAUCGUAAACUUCUUUUGUGCGGGAGCAAUAAGGGCCACGUGUGGUCCGAUGAGAGUACCGUACGAAUAAGCAUCGGCUAACUCCGUGCCAGCAGCCGCGGUAAUACGGAGGAUGCGAGCGUUAUCCGGAUUUAUUGGGUUUAAAGGGUGCGUAGGCUGCUUGGUAAGUCAGCGGUGAAAUACAGGCGCUCAACGUCUGCCGUGCCGUUGAUACUGCCGUGCUUGAAUGCGGAUGCCGUGGGAGGAAUGUGUGGUGUAGCGGUGAAAUGCAUAGAUAUCACACAGAACACCGAUUGCGAAGGCAUCUCACGAAUCCGCUAUUGACGCUGAGGCACGAAAGUGUGGGGAUCAAACAGGAUUAGAUACCCUGGUAGUCCACACAGUAAACGAUGAUGACUAACCGUCGGCGAUACACAGUCGGUGGCCAAGCGAAAGCGAUAAGUCAUCCACCUGGGGAGUACGACCGCAAGGUUGAAACUCAAAGGAAUUGACGGGGGCCCGCACAAGCGGAGGAACAUGUGGUUUAAUUCGAUGAUACGCGAGGAACCUUACCCGGGCUUGAAAUCAGGAUGAACGAUCUGGAGACAGAGAGGUCUGGCAACAGCAUCCUGGUAGGUGCUGCAUGGUUGUCGUCAGCUCGUGCCGUGAGGUGUCGGCUUAAGUGCCAUAACGAGCGCAACCCUCGCUGACAGUUACUAACAGGUUAAGCUGAGGACUCUGUCGGGACUGCCACCGCAAGGUGUGAGGAAGGUGGGGAUGACGUCAAAUCAGCACGGCCCUUACGUCCGGGGCUACACACGUGUUACAAUGGGUGGGACAGAAAGAAGCCAGGCGGCGACGCCGAGCGGAUCUCCAAACCCAUCCCUAGUUCGGACUGGAGUCUGCAACCCGACUCCACGAAGCUGGAUUCGCUAGUAAUCGCGCAUCAGCCAUGGCGCGGUGAAUACGUUCCCGGGCCUUGCACACACCGCCCGUCA
rnacentral:rRNA from 1 species